rnacentral:tRNA from 1 species
CGACGGCUCGGCUACAUGCAGGUCAGCCGGGCUGGGGCUUCGGCCCGUACGCCGGCCAGUCCGGAACCUGGCGACGUCGG